CUCGUUUUUAGAUUGUCCAACACUUCCCUUUAAUAUCUCUUGUUUGUCCAACACUUCCAUAAGAAUUGAUACUGAUUUUGUCACCCUUGUUGAUUAAUAUGCCCCUGUUUAUCCCAUUUGUUUGUAUCUACUUGUUAAUGAUUCACGUACUUGGAUGCUUCACAGUAUGCUUGUUAUAAUGGAUCUACAGUUCGGAAGAGGGAGGAGGACGGUCGAGAAUAGAAAGGCACGAAUAUUAUUGUGUUUGUACUAGGUUAUAUCAAUUGUAAUAGUUUCUGCUUGGUUCAGAUAAACUAUAAGGCACAUGUAAAUAGGUGGAUAUUUUCUUUAUUUUUCUUGUAUGGAUCAACUGUAAUGGUACUCCCCCUUGAAUUAGACAAAGCCUGAUUAGGUACUUAAUCAAGCAUUUUGUUGUAUAUGGGGAGAGGUACUGUGGAGGCAAUGAAAAAUCAAGUGUUUUUGGUCA